rnacentral:rRNA from 1 species
CAGCAGCCACGGUAAUACGAAGGGGGCUAGCGUUGUUCGGAUUUACUGGGCGUAAAGCGCACGCAGGCGGCUCGAUAAAUUAGAAGUGAAAGCCUUGGGCUUAACCUGAGAAUUGCUUUUAAGACUGUCGAGCUAGAAUCCAGAAGAGGGUAGUGGAAUUCCGAGUGUAGAGGUGAAAUUCGUAGAUAUUCGGAAGAACACCAGUGGCGAAGGCGACUACCUGGUCUGGCAUUGACGCUCAUGUGCGAAAGCGUGGGGAGCAAACAGGAUUAGAUACCCGCGUAGUCCCUGUCUCUUAUAC